rnacentral:rRNA from 1 species
GACGAACGCUGGCGGCGUGCUUAACACAUGCAAGUCGAACGAUGAUGCCCAGCUUGCUGGGCGGAUUAGUGGCGAACGGGUGAGUAACACGUGAGUAACCUGCCCUUGACUCUGGGAUAACUGCGGGAAACUGUAGCUAAUACCGGAUACGACCCUCGGCGGCAUCGCCAGGGGGUGGAAAGAAUUUCGGUCAAGGAUGGACUCGCGGCCUAUCAGCUAGUUGGUGAGGUAACGGCUCACCAAGGCGACGACGGGUAGCCGGCCUGGGAGGGGGACCGGCCACACUGGGACUGAGACACGGCCCAGACUCCUACGGGAGGCAGCAGUGGGGAAUAUUGCACAAUGGGCGCAAGCCUGAUGCAGCAACGCCGCGUGAGGGAUGACGGCCUUCGGGUUGUAAACCUCUUUUAGUAGGGAAGAAGCGAAAGUGACGGUACCUGCAGAAAAAGCACCGGCUAGCUACGUGCCAGCCGCCGCAGUAAUAC